rnacentral:tRNA from 1 species
GUCCUUUUAGUCUAAAGGCCAGGAUAUUGUUUUUAACAAAGGUACGGGUUCAAGUCCCGUAAAGGACU